rnacentral:lncRNA from 1 species
GUCUCCAGCACUGCGGACACCCGGGUGACACAUUCUUUCGGAGAGGGAGGGCAAGACUUUUCUCCGGAGCCUCUGGCAACUCGUGGAGUCUAUAUAAGAUCUUCAAAGAAAGAGAUAUCCUUUCGAGGCAACACAAGAAGCCAACUACAAAUGAGAAUAUUAUUCUCUUGGUGCAGGGAUUGUUGCAUGUGGACCCCAUCAGCCUUGAAAAGUCCAUGCAAUGGAGUGAAACUUGACAAAGCAGUUGCAGUCGUUCACCAGUGAAGCAAAGUCUUCUUCCUAGUCACGCAGUUACCCAAGGUGCAGUAAAAGAAGAUAUUUUGGGAGGAAGAGAGAAAGCAAGAGAGAGAAACCACAUUUUCAUAACUUUUGUUACAGUAUAUUGUUAUAAUUGGUCUAUUUUUAUUAUUAUUGUUGUUCAUAUUUUACUUUAAUUUAUAAAUUAAACUUCAUUAUAGGUAUGUACAGGAAAAAAUAUGGUAUUAUAUAUGAUUUGGUACUAUCCUUGGUUUCAGGCAUCCACUGAGGGUCUUGGAACAUAUCACCUUGGAUAGGGGAGACUACUGACUUCCUUACUGCUCUAUGUGACAAAUGAAGUUUGGUCUUAUUUGCAGCCAGGAAAAUUUUAUUAUCAAGACUUUAAUAUUAAUACAGAAAUAGGAACUUCCAGGGAUAGACAAAAAUGAAGAGAGCAUCUGUUCCAGCUUCUUUAUUUUAAAGAUUUGAGGCUCAGAGAGGAGAUAUACUUCUUCAAAAUCAACAGCCUAUUAGUUCACAACUGCGAUUACAAUUUCGUCUCCUGGCUCUGGGUUUAAUAAUAUUCCCCCACAUCAUAAAACCUUGGAACUAUCGAAAUGAUAGCUUUGAGGGGAAAAAUAGGCAAAGAAGUAAUAUGUUAAACUUUCCCUGGGAUGCAGGCUUUAAUCAGGUUUCAAAUUCUUCCAACAUAAUAUAAUUUAAUGGUGAGAGCUCUUGACAUUAAGAGGUGAAAUUUAUAUUUAAAAGGCUAAGAUCGUGACAUAUUAAAGCACUUCAAAAAUGUUGGCAACAAAUACCAAGAGUAACUGAUGGUUGUUAUUAUACAAGAACAAAGAAGUUCAUCCUCUGGAAUUAAAGGUGUGUUAGUGUCAUUGUUGCUCAUGGGGAGGAGUAGGCACCUGACUUUCUUUUUUUCCUUACGACAGCUUUAUCCAAAUAAAGCACGGUGUGUUUCAUCACCCAUAAUGGAAAGUGCCUGUCACUCCUUGAACAACAUCAUAUGGUUGGUGGCCGGUGGAUAAUGGACCACUGAGUGUCAAGGUGACUGGCUUUCAAUGCACACAAAACUAAAAAUUAUAGACCUGUCAUUCCACAGGCAGGCCACAAUUAGCUGUCUAUGCAACUUGAAAUUUCCAUUUUGCCAGCUGAGUAAUCAUUUGACUAGAGUUUUUCAUUUGGAAGCAUUUCUAAGCCUUUUGUGUGCAAGUCUUUUAAAAUGUGGAUCCUGAAGUAAAUAAACAGUGCACUUAAUCA